rnacentral:rRNA from 1 species
AUUGAACGCUGGCGGCAGGCCUAACACAUGCACGUCGAACGAGCGGCGGACGGGAGACUUAUGACUGUGCAUCUGGUUGAUGGAGGGGGACACCUACUGGAAACGGUUACUAAUACCGUCCACCUUCAUCUGUGCCGUGUUGGGAGUAGCUAGUAGGUGGGGUAAUGGCUCACAUAGGCGACGAUACCUAGCUGGUCUGUGAGGAUGACCAGUCACACUGUAACUGAGACACGGUCCAGACUCCUACGGGAGGCAGCAGUGGGGAAUAUUGCACAAUGGGCGCAAGCCUGAUGCAGCCAUGCCGCGUGUGUGAAGAAGGCCUUCGGGUUGUAAAGCACGUUCAGCUGGGAGGCGUUACCAACAGAAUAAGCACCGACUAAAGCCGUGCCAGCCGCCGCGGUAAUAC